rnacentral:rRNA from 1 species
AUGGCCUUCAUCCAACCACAAAAGUGGCUCAACUGGUUAUCCCUAGCAGAAUGGUGGUACAAUACUAGCUACCACACAGCCCUCAAGAUCACCCCCUUCCAGGCCCUGUAUGGCAGACCUCCUCAUAUGCUAGCUGAAUCUGCUCUUUAUCCUGUGGAAGAAUUGGAACAGUUCCCUGAUGUACUCACUGCUGAACAAACCGCAGCACAUAUUAAGGAAAAUCUCCUGAGGGCUCAAGCCAGAAUGAAACAUUACGCUGACAAGAAGAGAUCUGAGAGAACCUUGGAAGUGGGUGACAUGGUCUACCUGAAACUACAACCUUACAGGCAUACCACUCUCAGCAUCCAUAGAUGUCUCAAGCUGCAUUCCAAAUUUUAUGGCCCAUUCAGAAUUAUCCAGAAAGUUGGUCCAGUGGCUUACAAGCUCCUUCUUCCUGACGACUGCAGACUUCAUGAUACUUUUCAUGUGAGCCAGCUCAAGAAGCAUAUUGGCCUAAUGGCGAUUCCAAACCCCAAGCUCCCCUUGCUCAAUCCGGAUGGAACAAUCUUACUGGAACCAGAACAACUGCUCGAACGCAAACUGGUACCGCGUGUGCAAGGCAACAUCAGUAUUCCCAUGGUUCGAUGGCUCAUAAAAUGGAGUAAUCUACCGCUGGAGGAGGCCACUUGGGAGGACACCACAUUCAUACAAAAAGUGUUUCCUAAUUUCCAACCCUGA